AGUUUGAUCCUGGCUCAGGAUGAACGCUGGCGGCGUGCCUAACACAUGCAAGUCGAACGGGGUAUAUAAGCGGAAGUUUACGGAUGGAAGGUUAUAUACUUAGUGGCGGACGGGUGAGUAACGCGUGGGCAACCUGCCCCGUGCCGGGGGAUACCGCCUGGAAACAGGCGCUAAUACCGCAUAAGCGCAUACAGCCGCAUGGGUGUAUGCGGAAAGCUCCGGCGGCACGGGAUGGGCCCGCGCCCGAUUAGCCAGUUGGCGGGGUAACGGCCCACCAAAGCGACGAUCGGUAGCCGGCCUGAGAGGGCGGACGGCCACAUUGGGACUGAGACACGGCCCAAACUCCUACGGGAGGCAGCAGUGGGGAAUAUUGCACAAUGGGGGAAACCCUGAUGCAGCAACGCCGCGUGGGUGAAGGAGCGUUUCGGCGCGUAAAGCCCUGUCAGCGGGGAAGAAGAAAGACGGUACCCGACCAAGAAGCCCCGGCUAACUACGUGCCAGCAGCCGCGGUAAUACGUAGGGGGCGAGCGUUAUCCGGAAUUACUGGGUGUAAAGGGAGCGUAGACGGCGAGGUAAGCCUGAAGUGGAAGCCCGCGGCCCAACCGCGGAACUGCUUUGGGAACUGUUUUGCUGGAGUAUGGGAGGGGUAAGCGGAAUUCCUGGUGUAGCGGUGAAAUGCGUAGAUAUCAGGAGGAACACCGGUGGCGAAGGCGGCUUACUGGACCAUAACUGACGUUGAGGCUCGAAAGCGUGGGGAGCGAACAGGAUUAGAUACCCUGGUAGUCCACGCCGUAAACGAUGAUUACCAGGUGUCGGGUGUCGAAGGACGGCCGGUGCCGCAGCGAACGCAGUAAGUAAUCCACCUGGGGAGUACGUUCGCAAGAAUGAAACUCAAAGGAAUUGACGGGGACCCGCACAAGCGGUGGAGCAUGUGGUUUAAUUCGAAGCAACGCGAAGAACCUUACCCGGCCUUGACAUCCCCCUGACAGUAUCUGUAAUGGAUAUUUCCUUCGGGACAGGGGAGACAGGUGUGCAUGGUUGUCGUCAGCUCGUGUCGUGAGAUGUUGGGUCAAGUCCCGCAACGAGCGCAACCCCUGCCCCCAGUAGCCAGCAUUUAAGAUGGGCACUCUGGGGGGACUGCCGGGGAUAACCCGGAGGAAGGCGGGGAUGACGUCAAAUCAUCAUGCCCCUUAUGGCCGGGGCUACACACGUGCUACAAUGGCGUAAACAGAGGGAGGCGAGACAGCGAUGUUAAGCGAACCCCAAAAAUAACGUCUCAGUUCGGAUUGCAGCCUGCAACUCGGAUGCAUGAAGCUGGAAUCGCUAGUAAUCGCGGAUCAGAAUGCCGCGGUGAAUACGUUCCCGGGCCUUGCACACACCGCCCGUCA
rnacentral:rRNA from 1 species